rnacentral:rRNA from 1 species
UACGUAGGGUGCAAGCGUUAAUCGGAAUUACUGGGCGUAAAGCGUGCGCAGGCGGUUGUGUAAGACAGAUGUGAAAUCCCCGGGCUCAACCUGGGAACUGCAUUUGUGACUGCACGGCUCGAGUGCGGCAGAGGGGAUGGAAUUCCGCGUGUAGCAGUGAAAUGCGUAGAUAUGCGGAGGAACACCGAUGGCGAAGGCAAUCCCCUGGGCCUGCACUGACGCUCAUGCACGAAAGCGUGGGGAGCAAACAGG